AUUCGUUGUGAAACUUAUUUUUGAUAGCAAAAUCGCAUAAAGCUUUGGCUGUUAAGCGCGCAUCACAGCCAAUCCCCCUGGUCAUAAGAUACGGAAAAACAAAACAAAAAUGAAACGCCCAAAAACUAGUAAUAACAAGUUUGCAAACUUUUUGUUGUGCCAUUGCUUUGCAACGCAAUUUAUGGCAUCUAAUUCAGCCUACCCGAUCUAUGCUAAGAGUGGGAACUACAACGUAUUCAAUUUUCUACAUGUUAUAGCGAUCUUCAGGAAGCAAUGCAAGUCAAUCAAAUGAAAAUCAAGCAAAAAGCGUUGUAAUAGAAGACAAGCUAGUCGGUGUUCACUGUUGAGCGUCCUUGUUAUAAAGAAUGUUCUAGAACAUUCUAAGGAACAUUUUGUCACGUGACUAAAUAUUAACCCGGUGAGAACCGCAUCAGCCAAUGGUAAGCCCGGGAAAAGUCUACUAUAUAAGGACCCCUCUCCCUGGGUCUGUCAAACGCGCAGUUCCUAGCACAAUCACAAACCUUACUUCGUCUCUCAACAGAUAUCCAUUUGAUUAAACAUGCCGAAGAAAGGAGACAGCAAACCUAAAGCCGAAGCGAAAGGGACGGAGGAAAAGAAAGUCGAAAAGAAGGAGGACGCAAAAAAAGAUGGCAAGAAGAAAUGAGACUGAUUACGCUCUUCACGGUGAUGCUCGCAGCAAAAACGCAGGCCGCUCUCAUUUAAUUACAUCCUGAAAAUUGCCGCAAAGGAUGUCGAGAGCAUCGUCGUUCUUAUUUGACUUUGAAAUGAACUUGAUUUUAUAUCGAAAAAUUUUUAUGUUUAAAAUCGAUCAUUCCAAAUACAUGACUUAAACCUUUCCGUAAAAA